AUUGAACGCUGGCGGCAGGCUUAACACAUGCAAGUCGAGCGGAGAGAAGUAGCUUGCUACUGAUCUUAGCGGCGGACGGGUGAGUAAUGCUUAGGAAUCUGCCUAUUAGUGGGGGACAACAUUUCGAAAGGAAUGCUAAUACCGCAUACGUCCUACGGGAGAAAGCAGGGGAUCUUAGGACCUUGCGCUAAUAGAUGAGCCUAAGUCGGAUUAGCUAGUUGGUGGGGUAAAGGCCUACCAAGGCGACGAUCUGUAGCGGGUCUGAGAGGAUGAUCCGCCACACUGGGACUGAGACACGGCCCAGACUCCUACGGGAGGCAGCAGUGGGGAAUAUUGGACAAUGGGCGAAAGCCUGAUCCAGCCAUGCCGCGUGUGUGAAGAAGGCCUUAUGGUUGUAAAGCACUUUAAGCGAGGAGGAGGCUACUUUAGUUAAUACCUAGAGAUAGUGGACGUUACUCGCAGAAUAAGCACCGGCUAACUCUGUGCCAGCCGCCGCGGUAAUAC
rnacentral:rRNA from 1 species